UACGUAGGGUGCGAGCGUUGUCCGGAAUUAUUGGGCGUAAAGAGCUCGUAGGCGGUGUGUCACGUCGGCCGUGAAAACCUGCAGCUUAACUGUGGGCGUGCGGUCGAUACGGGCAUCACUGGAGUUCGGCAGGGGAGACUGGAAUUCCUGGUGUAGCGGUGAAAUGCGCAGAUAUCAGGAGGAACACCGGUGGCGAAGGCGGGUCUCUGGGCCGAUACUGACGCUGAUGAGCGAAAGCCAGGGGAGCAAACGGG
rnacentral:rRNA from 1 species